AGCUUUUUUCUGUCACUUUCUGGUCUCUCUACCCUCUCCAUCUCUUUCUGAAUUAGACUCUUCAGUAUGCCAUCAUGUUCAUCAGUAAAUGGUGAAGGCAGUGAAUAAACUUCCCAAGGACAGUGGGUAUGGCCACAACAUAGUGACAUCACAGAGAAUGCCAGGACUCUCCAGGAUACAAUGGAAUGUCUAGGGAAGAGCUGCAGAUGUCAAGGGAACUAACAUUGCUUUCCUGCUAAUGUGUUUUCCUCAUAAUACACUAGAAGUCAAGCUGACCGUUGCAGGAGCCUCUGCUGGGAUAGAAAGGAAGCCCUUCAGCACCCCAUUCUUCCAAAGCCAGAGUUCUCUCCCUGAUUGAUUGGACAUCCUUUAGUUAUUUCCAGGUGUGGAAGUGAAUGUUUAUCUCCUACUGAAAUUUUAUGCACACAAGAUAUUGGGAAUUGGAUCUGAAUUCACUGCCUUGACUAUGAAUUUCAAUUUUAUGCUAUGUCCUUCCUUGAAGGUCAGAAGAAGCUCCUUAAAGAUGAGAGAAAAGUAGCACCUUAAAUUCCAGGACAUGAAACAGGCACUUUUGAGCUACAUCAAAGGGUAUUCAAGGAGAAUACGGUCUUAAAUAACCACAGGUGAAAAUCUCUUUCAGGGAACAGAGGAAUCAGAUACUGAACUUACCAAAAAUGCUGCAAAUGAUGCUUUAGAGCAGAGAAUCACUUGACUGGCUGAAAAUAAGUUAACACUUCUUUUCAUGACUAUUAACAAAUAUUGUGCAUCGAUCGUAUCCUUUUAUCAUUUGGAAAGACUCACCAGCUAGCUAUACUUUAUUUAUUAGCCACUUUCAGAUGCUAAAAGCAAAGAAGAUGGAGAGGGAAGGUAGAAAUCAUCAUGUUUGAUCCUCAAUAU